rnacentral:rRNA from 1 species
CCCUUAGAUGUUCUGGGCAGCACGCGCGCUACAAUGGUCUUCGCAAACGGAUGCAUUCUCGAAGGAGAAUGCCAAUCUUGGAAUCUAUGCCUUGGUCGGGACAGUUGCUUGCAAUUUUUCGACUCGAACCAGGAAUUCCUUGUAAUCGUGAUUCAUCACAUCACGAUGAAUACGUCCUUGCCCUUUGUACACACCGCCCGUCGCUCCUACCGAUUGAACGAUCCGGUGAAUUAUUUGGAGUAGCUCUGGAAGUUGCAGAACUUCCUAUGUCACGAAAUUUUGUAAACCUUAUCGUUUAGAGGAAGGAAAAGUCGUAACA